rnacentral:rRNA from 1 species
GCUUACGGCCACACCGCCUGGUUCACGUCCCGAUCUCGGAAGCUAACAUAGGUUGGGCCUGGUUAGUACUUGGAUGGGAGACCGCCUGGGAAUACCAGGUGCUGUAAGCU